rnacentral:lncRNA from 1 species
GGGGAGACAGGGGAAUUUAAAGGGUGUCAGUACUGAGGGGAGCCUGGGGCACUUGAUGGGGACCAGGGGUCCUGUGAGGAACCAGGAGGAUUUGAGGGGGACUGAGGACUUGGAGGGCAGCCAGGGGGACCUCAGAGGGACCAGGGGUUUAGGGGAGCCGAAGNNNNNNNNNNNNNNNNNNNNGGGGACCUGAAAGAUGCUGGAACUGGAGCAGGAGCAGGGGUUCUGAGGGGAGCCAGGGGCACUGAGCGUCACAGGAUUUGCCUGAAGGGAGCCUGCAGCUCCAGCCAGAUGUGCAAUCCUGGCACAGAUCAGAGCACACACAGAACUGGAAGUUGAGUAUUUCUGAGGCUUUCCUAAGUGAGGGAAAGAAUUAUUACAGUAAAGGUACAAUAUCAUUCUUUAUUACAGUUUUUUAUACCACCCAGCUAACUUUCCUGAAUUUGUUGAUUAUGAUUUUCCCUCCUGAAAUAGAUUCUGUAAUUAACAGUUUGUAUCUUUUCAUGCCAGGCCGGAGGGGGCUUGGAACAACCUGGACUAGUGGAAGGUGUCCCUGCCUGAUGCCAAGGUGAGCUGAAGGAUGAUUUUUUCCUUACUGGGACAUGUGCCCUGUUUGUCUCCAGUAUUUUUCUGGAAGAAACCAACAUUUUCUCGUUUAUCCUCGCAGCGGUGGCAGCACUGAUGUCCCUUUCAGACUGAAAUCCAGAGGCUGAUUGCCCUCCCUGGCCCUGGGAGGGUCGGGCAGUGCCAGCCGUGUCCUGCUGUCCCCUUCCUGCCCUUCCUGCAGCACGCUGGGUGUGGGACGAGCGCCGAGGGUCCCGUGGGAGCGCAGGAAGCGCCGAUCCAUGGAGAGGCGAGCAGGGAUGGCCGCUCUGAGGGUUUUGGACCCUUAAAAGCUGGAAGUGUAUCCUCCAAGAGGCAAGGUUGCUUCAGGCUCUUUGGUGAGGGUGAAAUGAAGCUCUGCCGUGUGUCAGAGCUGAACCAGAGGUGAAUUACCUGACCUGGAGGGAUGCAUCCACUGCUGGAGAACCAGGACAUUCUGGGGAGCUCCCAAGGUUUGCAUCACACUUCUGCCACAGCUGACUUGGACCCUUUGGAACUGGAAACAAGGCUUGGUUCAGGCAGUGGCUCUAAAAAGCAUUCUGAGGGACCAUGUGGAGGCCAGGAGCAGCUCAGACUCAGGUGGUGAAAGCACAGCACCAUUUCCCUGCCUUGAGGGAAGAAGGUCUCUGAACAGCCAUGCAUCAAGUGAAAUGAAGUGGUUUAUGUCCCAGAGGAGUCUGCAGCUCAUCCACAACAUGAUACCUGCAUGUUUUGAGAGGUUCUCUGGACUUUCUGCCAGGGCUCCUUAUCCAGUUCAUGACAGAGUGGCUUGGGAGGGGAAUGUGCUGUUCAGCAUCUCAGGUAAAACCCAG